rnacentral:rRNA from 1 species
UACGUAGGCAGCAAGCGUUGUUCGGAGUUACUGGGCGUAAAGGGUGCGUAGGCGGCUUCUUAAGUCUGGUGUGAAAUCUCCCGGCUCAACUGGGAGGGUGCGCCGGAUACUGAGGGGCUAGAGUGCGGGAGAGGAAAGUGGAAUUCCUGGUGUAGCGGUGAAAUGCGUAGAUAUCAGGAGGAACACCGGUGGUGUAAACGGCUUUCUGGACCAUAACUGACGCUGAGGCACGAAAGCGUGGGUAGCAAACAGG